AGCGAGGUCCUGGUGUCUGUCAGAUAUGUCCUUCAUCCCAGGAGGAGAUAAAACAGCCUCCCAUCAGUCAGAUAACACGAUAAUUAGACAGAGUGAUAAUGCAUUUAUCCUGGUGCUUACAAUCCUUGAUCAUUUACUGCAAUUAUGUAUACAGGCCACAGCAGCCAGUGUCUUUAAUUAUAACCUUGAUGGCCCAAUGAUAGGAAGAAGGAAUCUUCCUAAGGAUCUCACCCAGGAAAAAACCAAAUAGGUGAUACUGUCCCUGUACCUGAGUGGACAAGGCUCCUGGAUCCGGAACAUGAGGGCUUAUGCCCAGUCUAAAACCCUCAAAGACAUCAGGAGAAAUGCAGCAGGAAAAUGACUAUUUCCUUACACUUUUGCAUGGAGAAAUGCAUCUGAUCAAAGCAUGACCAUGGGGAUUUCAGUGGAAAUGUCAUUGCCCUCCAUAUUAUACAGAAAGGGAAGUGCAAAGCUCUUGCAAAUCAGGAACUCGUGGGAAAACCCCGCUGUAUCCAGUGCUGGCAGAAUGAAUCACCUCAGCUCCCAAAACGGGAGGAACUUGGGGGACCUCUCUGUUGAUGGAGAACAAGAGGGAAGCAGAUGUCUCCCAGGCCAGCAGGGAAUGAUGGACUCACCAUCUAGAGAGCACAGCCGGAGAGUCUUGUCACUCACCCUGGGGCCAGGUGGGGGCUCAGAAAUCCUCAGUUUUUCCCUUCUGCUUAUAAA